AGAGCGAACGCUGGCGGCAGGCCUAAUACAUGCAAGUCGAACGGACCCUUCGGGGUUAGUGGCGGACGGGUGAGUAACACGUGGGAACGUGCCCUUUGGUUCGGAACAACUCAGGGAAACUUGAGCUAAUACCGAAUGUGCCCCCUCCUUUGAUUAGGGGGGUGGGAAAGAUUUAUCGCCAUUGGAGCGGCCCGCGUCUGAUUAGCUAGUUGGUGGGGUAAAGGCCCACCAAGGCUACGAUCAGUAGCUGGUCUGAGAGGAUGAUCAGCCACACUGGGACUGAGACACGGCCCAGACUCCUACGGGAGGCAGCAGUAGGGAAUCUUGCGCAAUGGGCGAAAGCCUGACGCAGCCAUGCCGCGUGAAUGAUGAAGGUCUUAGGAUUGUAAAAUUCUUUCAGCGGGACGAUAAUGACGGUACCCGCAGAAGAAGCCCGGCUAACUUCGUGCCAGCAGCCGC
rnacentral:rRNA from 1 species